CACUAUCGUUAACUGAAUACAUAGGUUAACGAGGCGAACCGGGGGAACUGAAACAUCUAAGUACCCCGAGGAAAAGAAAUCAACCGAGAUUCCCCCAGUAGCGGCGAGCGAACGGGGAGCAGCCCAGAGUCUGAAUCAGCUUGUGUGUUAGUGGAACGGUCUGGAAAGUCCGACGGUACAGGGUGAUAGUCCCGUACACCAAAAUGCACAGGCUGUGAACUCGAAGAGUAGGGCGGGACACGUGGUAUCCUGUCUGAAUAUGGGGGGACCAUCCUCCAAGGCUAAAUACUCCUGACUGACCGAUAGUGAACCAGUACCGUGAGGGAAAGGCGAAAAGAACCCCGGCGAGGGGAGUGAAAAAGAACCUGAAACCGUGUACGUACAAGCAGUGGGAGCACCUUCGGGUGUGACUGCGUACCUUUUGUAUAAUGGGUCAGCGACUUAUAUUCUGUAGCAAGGUUAACCGUAUAGGGGAGCCGCAGGGAAACCGAGUCUUAACUGGGCGUUAAGUUGCAGGGUAUAGACCCGAAACCCGGUGAUCUAGCCAUGGGCAGGUUGAAGGUUGGGUAACACUAACUGGAGGACCGAACCGACUAAUGUUGAAAAAUUAGCGGAUGACUUGUGGCUGGGGGUGAAAGGCCAAUCAAACCGGGAGAUAGCUGGUUCUCCCCGAAAGCUAUUUAGGUAGCGCCUCGUGAACUCAUCUUCGGGGGUAGAGCACUGUUUCGGCUAGGGGGUCAUCCCGACUUACCAACCCGAUGCAAACUACGAAUACCGAAGAAUGUUAUCACGGGAGACACACGGCGGGUGCUAACGUCCGUCGUGAAGAGGGAAACAACCCAGACCGCCAGCUAAGGUCCCAAAGUCAUGGUUAAGUGGGAAACGAUGUGGGAAGGCACAGACAGCCAGGAUGUUGGCUUAGAAGCAGCCAUCAUUUAAAGAAAGCGUAAUAGCUCACUGGUCGAGUCGGCCUGCGCGGAAGAUGUAACGGGGCUAAACCAUGCACCGAAGCUGCGGCAGCGACACUAUGUGUUGUUGGGUAGGGGAGCGUUCUGUAAGCCUGCGAAGGUGUGCUGUGAGGCAUGCUGGAGGUAUCAGAAGUGCGAAUGCUGACAUAAGUAACGAUAAAGCGGGUGAAAAGCCCGCUCGCCGGAAGACCAAGGGUUCCUGUCCAACGUUAAUCGGGGCAGGGUGAGUCGACCCCUAAGGCGAGGCCGAAAGGCGUAGUCGAUGGGAAACAGGUUAAUAUUCCUGUACUUGGUGUUACUGCGAAGGGGGGACGGAGAAGGCUAUGUUAGCCGGGCGACGGUUGUCCCGGUUUAAGCAUGUAGGCUGAUUGUCCAGGCAAAUCCGGAUAAUCAAGGCUGAGGUGUGAUGACGAGGCACUACGGUGCUGAAGUAACAAAUGCCCUGCUUCCAGGAAAAGCCUCUAAGCAUCAGGUAACAUCAAAUCGUACCCCAAACCGACACAGGUGGUCAGGUAGAGAAUACCAAGGCGCUUGAGAGAACUCGGGUGAAGGAACUAGGCAAAAUGGUGCCGUAACUUCGGGAGAAGGCACGCUGGUGUGUAGGUGAAGUCCCUGCGGAUGGAGCUGAGACCAGUCGAAGAUACCAGCUGGCUGCAACUGUUUAUUAAAAACACAGCACUGUGCAAACACGAAAGUGGACGUAUACGGUGUGACGCCUGCCCGGUGCCGGAAGGUUAAUUGAUGGGGUUAUCCGUAAGGAGAAGCUCUUGAUCGAAGCCCCGGUAAACGGCGGCCGUAACUAUAACGGUCCUAAGGUAGCGAAAUUCCUUGUCGGGUAAGUUCCGACCUGCACGAAUGGCGUAAUGAUGGCCAGGCUGUCUCCACCCGAGACUCAGUGAAAUUGAACUCGCUGUGAAGAUGCAGUGUACCCGCGGCAAGACGGAAAGACCCCGUGAACCUUUACUAUAGCUUGACACUGAACAUUGAGCCUUGAUGUGUAGGAUAGGUGGGAGGCUUUGAAGCGUGGACGCCAGUCUGCGUGGAGCCAACCUUGAAAUACCACCCUUUAAUGUUUGAUGUUCUAACGUUGGCCCCUUACCGGGGUUGCGGACAGUGUCUGGUGGGUAGUUUGACUGGGGCGGUCUCCUCCCAAAGCGUAACGGAGGAGCACGAAGGUUAGCUAAUCCUGGUCGGACAUCAGGAGGUUAGUGCAAUGGCAUAAGCUAGCUUGACUGCGAGCGUGACGGCGCGAGCAGGUGCGAAAGCAGGUCAUAGUGAUCCGGUGGUUCUGAAUGGAAGGGCCAUCGCUCAACGGAUAAAAGGUACUCCGGGGAUAACAGGCUGAUACCGCCCAAGAGUUCAUAUCGACGGCGGUGUUUGGCACCUCGAUGUCGGCUCAUCACAUCCUGGGGCUGAAGUAGGUCCCAAGGGUAUGGCUGUUCGCCAUUUAAAGUGGUACGCGAGCUGGGUUUAGAACGUCGUGAGACAGUUCGGUCCCUAUCUGCCGUGGGCGCUGGAGAAUUGAGGGGGGCUGCUCCUAGUACGAGAGGACCGGAGUGGACGCAUCACUGGUGUUCGGGUUGUCAUGCCAAUGGCACUGCCCGGUAGCUAAAUGCGGAAGAGAUAAGUGCUGAAAGCAUCUAAGCACGAAACUUGCCCCGAGAUGAGUUCUCCCUGAGACUUUAAGUCUCCUGAAGGAACGUUAAAGACGAUGACGUUGAUAGGCCGGGUGUGUAAGCGCAGCGAUGCGUUGAGCUAACCGGUACUAAUGAACCGUGAGGCUUAACCUU
rnacentral:rRNA from 1 species